rnacentral:misc_RNA from 1 species
UGCUGGAUCAUCACAUAUACCAUUCUAACAAUUUUGUUGUUAUCAACGGCUUUUGUUGGCUUCUAUGCAUUGCCCAGCAACUGUAUGCUAAUGUCCGUGGUUGUUAAAGGCUUUGCCAUAUCCUCUAUUUUAUAAAUAUAGGAGAGAAUUAAUGAGUGCCAGCAAGGUGCCGCCAACUUUGACCAUUACUCUUUAAUUUAAAUAAUAAAUAACAAGAAUAUAGCCUUAUCGGUGGAUCACUCGGUUCGUAGAUCGAUGAAGAACGCAGCCAACUGCGAUAACUCGUGUGAACUGCAGAUAUUUUGAGCACCGAGACUUCGAAUGCACAUUGCGCCAUUGGAAUAACAUCCUUUGGCACAUCUGGCUCAGGGUCGUUUCAACAACAAACGAUUCCAUUCGUUUCUGUUAGUGUGACCACUCUUAAAAAGGUGAUUUCACUUGUUGAUACAAUAAAUACUAAGCAUCAACACAAGCAUUACUAUCAUUAAGUCGAUGCUAGACUGAAGAUAGUGUAUGUGUAAUGUUUAGUUUUCAUUAAAUGACCUGAGCUCAGAUGUGAAAACCCGCUGAACUUAAGCAUAUCAGUAAGCGGAGGAAAAGAAACCAACAGGGAUUCCCAUAGUAACGGCGAGUGAACUGGGAAGAGUCCAACGCUAAGAAUCUUCCCAUGGAAGAUUAAUGCAGCGUACAGUCAAUUCAGUCCCCGAAUAGUCAUUGUCUCAAAUCUCCCUUGAGUGGGGUUCCAAAGAAGGUGCAAGGCCUGUCGAGACUUUAGAUUAUACGGGUUUGAGUUGUCUUAGAGUCGGGUUGUUUGGGAACGCAGCCCAAAGUAGGUGGUAAACUUCACCUAAGACUAAAUAUUGCUACGAAUCCGAUAGCAAACAAGUACCGUGAGGGAAAGUUGCAAAGCACUUUGAAGAGAGAGUUAAAGAGGACGUGAAACCGGUAAGGUGGAAACGGAUAGAGCCAACGAAUCCUACUUGUAUUCAAUGAAUCUAACAAAGAUUCAUGCAUUUGCAAGUGGAGUGCGCUGAGCAAUGCGAAGUAGCGGUUGGAUAUAUGUCGCAGAGGCCAUCUGAAAAUGAUGGAACCUAGAUAUAAGGAAGACUGUUUACUUUGCAUUUAACAUUAAAGAUAAUGGCUUACGCUGUUUAUUAUUCUCAUGAUCUGUAUAGAUGGCGGCCGCAUGCGACACGUAUUUAUAUAGGUUGUGUAGAGUAGUAGAUUGCUCAUUAUCAUGCUCGGUGUAAACGUUGGUCAUCUCUCCGACCCGUCUUGAAACACGGACCAAGGAGUUUAACGUAUACGCAAGUCAAUGUGUGAUAAACACAUAGGCGAAGUGAAAGCAAUUCCUCUGAUUCUUGAAUAAAGAAGCAAGGAGCUCCUUUUUUUCCUUUGAAAGAAAGAGAGAGAGCGUGUGCGCUGAGACCCGAAAGAUGGUGAACUAUUCCUGAGCAGGAUGAAGCCAGAGGAAACUCUGGUGGAAGUCCGAAGCGGUCCUGACGUGCAAAUCGGUCGUCUGACUUGGGUAUAGGGGCGAAAGACUAAUCGAACCAUCUAGUAGCUGGUUCCCUC